CCUACGGGAGGCUGCAGUGGGGAAUAUUGGACAAUGGGGGCAACCCUGAUCCAGCCAUGCCGCGUGUGUGAAGAAGGCCCUCGGGUUGUAAAGCACUUUCAGUGAGGAAGAACGCCUGGUGGUUAAUACCCAUCAGGAAAGACAUCACUCACAGAAGAAGCACCGGCUAACUCCGUGCCAGCAGCCGCGGUAAUACGGAGGGUGCGAGCGUUAAUCGGAAUUACUGGGCGUAAAGCGCGCGUAGGUGGCUUGAUAAGCCGGUUGUGAAAGCCCCGGGCUCAACCUGGGAACGGCAUCCGGAACUGUCAAGCUAGAGUGCAGGAGAGGAAGGUAGAAUUCCCGGUGUAGCGGUGAAAUGCGUAGAGAUCGGGAGGAAUACCAGUGGCGAAGGCGGCCUUCUGGACUGACACUGACACCGAGGUGCGAAAGCGUGGGUAGCAAACAGGAUUAGAUACCCUGGUAGUC
rnacentral:rRNA from 1 species